rnacentral:rRNA from 1 species
AUUGAACGCUGGCGGCAGGCCUAACACAUGCAAGUCGAGCGGCAGCGGAAAGUAGCUUGCUACUUUGCCGGCGAGCGGCGGACGGGUGAGUAAUGUCUGGGAAACUGCCUGAUGGAGGGGGAUAACUACUGGAAACGGUAGCUAAUACCGCAUAACGUCGCAAGACCAAAGAGGGGGACCUUCGGGCCUCUUGCCAUCAGAUGUGCCCAGAUGGGAUUAGCUAGUAGGUGGGGUAACGGCUCACCUAGGCGACGAUCCCUAGCUGGUCUGGGAGGAUGACCAGCCACACUGGAACUGAGAGACGGUCCAGACUACUACGGGAGGAAGCAGUGGGGGAUAUUGCACAAGGGGCGCAAGGCUGAUGCAGCCAUGCCGCGUGUAUGAAGAAGGCCUUCGGGUUGUAAAGUACUUUCAGCGGGGAGGAAGGUGGUGAGGUUAAUAACCUCAGCAAUUGACGUUACCCGCAGAAGAAGCACCGGCUAACUCCGUGCCAGCCGCCGCAGUAA